GUAAUAGCUCACUGGUCGAGUCGGCCUGCGCGGAAGAUGUAACGGGGCUAAACCAUGCACCGAAGCUGCGGCAGCGACGCUGAUGCGUUGUUGGGUAGGGGAGCGUUCUGUAAGCCUGUGAAGGUGUGCUGUGAGGCAUGCUGGAGGUAUCAGAAGUGCGAAUGCUGACAUAAGUAACGAUAAAGCGGGUGAAAAGCCCGCUCGCCGGA
rnacentral:rRNA from 1 species